AUAUCAAUAAGCGGAGGAAAAGAAACCAACAGGGAUUGCCCCAGUAACGGCGAGUGAAGCGGCAACAGCUCAAAUUUGAAAUCUGGCCCUGUUAGGGGUCCGAGUUGUAAUUUGGAGAGGAUGCUUCGGGCGAGAGCGUGGUUUAAAUCUCUUGGAACAGGGUAUCACAGAGGGUGAGAGUCCCGUCUUUAACCGCGAGUCAAGCCCGUGUGAAGCUCCUUCGACGAGUCGGGUUGUUUGGGAAUGCAGCUCAAAAUGGGUGGUAAAUUUCAUCUAAAGCUAAAUAUUGGCCAGAGACCGAUAGCGCACAAGUAGAGUGAUCGAAAGAUGAAAAGCACUUUGAAAAGAGAGUUAAACAGCAUGUGAAAUUGUUGAAAGGGAAGCGCUUGCAACCAGACUUGUGGGCGGCAGUUCAGCCGUUAUUCUUAACGGUGCACUCUGCCGUUUCCGGGCCAGCAUCGGUUCAGGUAACCGGUUAAAGGCCUGGGGAACGUAUCUGCCUCUCGGGGCAGACUUAUAGCCCCAGGUGGCAUCCGGCUCAUCUGGACCGAGGCACGCGCUUCGGCACGGAUGCUGGCGUAAUGGUUGUAAGCGGCCCGUCUUGAAACACGGACCAAGGAGUCUAACAUCUAUGCGAGUGUUUGGGCGUUAAAACCCCAGCGCGGAAUGAAAGUGAACGGAGGUAGGAGCCCUCUGGGCGCACUAUCGACCGAUCCUGAUGUCUUCGGAUGGAUUUGAGUAAGAGCAUAGCUGUUGGGACCCGAAAGAUGGUGAACUAUGCCUGAAUAGGGUGAAGCCAGAGGAAACUCUGGUGGAGGCUCGCAGCGGUUCUGACGUGCAAAUCGAUCGUCAAAUUUAGGCAUAGGGGCGAAAGGUAAGCGUUCUUUUUAAUCUGAAAUAUAUUCUGUAGACUCUGGGCUAAUUUUUUCUCUGUAGACUAAUCGAACCAUCUGGUAGCUGGUUCCUGC
rnacentral:rRNA from 1 species